GACGAACGCUGGCGGCGUACCUAAUACAUGCAAGUCGAGCGAAGCGGCGGAUGGGUGAGUAACGCGUGGAUACCCUGCCCUUAAGUCUGGGAUACCAUUUGGAAACAGAUGCUAAUAACGGAUACUAAAGGAUGGCCCUUCGAUGCAUUGUAUAGUUGGUAAGGUAACGGCUUACCAAGGCGAUGAUGCAUAGAGGGGUUGAGAGACGUAUCGGCCACAGUGGAGCUGAGACACGGCCCAAACUCCUACGGGAGGCAGCAGUAGGGAAUCUUCCACAAUGGACGAAAGUCUGAUGGAGAAACGCCGCGUGAGUGAAGAAGGUUUGCGGAUCGUAAAGCUCUGUUGUUGGUGAAGCGGUAAUCAACCAGAAAGUCACGGCUAACUACGUGCCAGCAGCCGCGGUAAUUC
rnacentral:rRNA from 1 species